rnacentral:tRNA from 1 species
GCCUGGGUGGCUCAGUGGUUGAGCAUCUGCCUUUGGCGCAGGGCAUGAUCCUGGAGUUCUGGGAUCGAGUCCCACAUCGGGCU